rnacentral:tRNA from 1 species
GCCGGAGUGGCGGAAUGGCAGACGCAGUGGUCUCAAAAACCACCGGGGGCAACCCCAUGUCGGUUCGACUCCGACCUCCGGCACCA